GAUGAACGCUGGCGGCGUGCCUAAUACGUGCAAGUCGAGCGAACAGAUGAGGAGCUUGCUCCUCUGACUUUAGCGGCGGACGUGUGCGUAACACGUGGAUAACCUACCUAUAAGACUGGGAUAACUUCGGGAAACCGGAGCUAAUACCGGAUAAUAUAUUGAACCGCAUGGUUCAAUAGUGAAAGACGGUUUUGCUGUCACUUAUAGAUGGAUCCGCGCCCCAUUGGCUAGUUGGUAAGGUAACGGCUUACCAAGGCAACGAUGCGUAGCCGACCUGAGAGGGUGAUCGACCCCCUUAGACCUGAGACACGGCCCACACUACGACGGGAGGCAGCAGAAUGGAAUCUGUCGCAAUGGGCGAAAGCCUGACGGAGCAACGCCGGGUGAGUGAUGAAGGUCUUGGGAACGUAAAACUCUGUUAUUAAGGAAGAGCAAAUAUGUAAGUAACUAUGCACGUCAUGACGGUACCUACUCAGAAGUGCACGGCUAACUACGGG
rnacentral:rRNA from 1 species